rnacentral:rRNA from 1 species
UACGUAGGCAGCGAGCGUUGUUCGGAGUUACUGGGCGUAAAGGGUGUGUAGGCGGUUCUCUAAGUUUGGUGUGAAAUCUCCCGCUCAACCGGGAGGGUGCGCCGAAAACUGGGGGACUCGAGUGCGGGAUGGGAGAGUAGAAUUCCUGGUGUAGCGGUGAAAUGCGUAGAUAUCAGGAGGAAUACCGGUGGUGUAGACGGCUCUCUGGACCGCCACUGACGCUGAGACACGAAAGCGUGGGUAGCAAACAGG